rnacentral:lncRNA from 1 species
UCCCUAUCUGCGUAGCUUGCUUCUUUCUCCAGCUCUUCCCAUGUUUUACCUUUUUCUUCCUCUGACUCUUCAUCUUCUUCUUCUUCCUCAUCAUCUUCAGACUCAGCCAGAGAUUCACUAUCAGACUCAUCAUCAUCAGAAUCUGACUCAGGUUCAGCAUCUGAAGGUUCAUAACCUUGGUCUGAUUCUGAAUCUCCCAUCUUCAGACUCAACCAGAGAUUCACUAUCAGACUCAUCAUCAUCAGAAUCUGACUCAGGUUCAGCAUCUGAAGGUUCAUAACCUUGGUCUGAUUCUGAUUCUCCAGAUGAUGAGUCAGUACCUUCCAAGUUUAAAAAUUCCCAGCCACCAUCAUCAAUAAACUUCUGUGGCUCAUCAGUUAUGGUCUUCAACACUUGACGCCAAUUC